AUUGAACGCUGGCGGCAUGCCUUACACAUGCAAGUCGAACGGCAGCACGGGUGCUUGCCCCUGGUGGCGAGUGGCGAACGGGUGAGUAAUACAUCGGAACAUGUCCUGUAGUUGGGGAUAGCCCUGCGAAAGCCGGAUUAAUACCGCAUACGAUCUACGGCUGAAAGCGGGGGACCUUCGGGCCUCGCGCUAUAGGGUUGGCCGAUGGCUGAUUAGCUAGUUGGUGGGGUAAAGGCCUACCAAGGCGACGAUCAGUAGCUGGUCUGAGAGGACGACCAGCCACACUGGGACUGAGACACGGCCCAGACUCCUACGGGAGGCAGCAGUGGGGAAUUUUGGACAAAGGGCGAAAGCCUGAUCCAGCAAUGCCGCGUGUGUGAAGAAGGCCUUCGGGUUGUAAAGCACUUUUGUCCGGAAAGAAAUCCUUGGCCCUAAUACGGUCGGGGGAUGACGGUACCGGAAGAAUAAGCACCGGCUAACUACGUG
rnacentral:rRNA from 1 species